AGGAAAGAAAGAAACCCCUUUGUCACCUCUUAGGGUCGUCAUUACCUUCAAUUAUAUGCACAUUCACUUCCAGUUUCUCACAUGGUAACAUCUUUUGUGUUUACUAGCAAGGCUAUGAAAGAAUGUAGUAUUCUAUCAUCUACAUUGAGCCAACUGCCUCUAAAUCUUUGCGUCCGAGCUAUCUUUGUUCACUAUGGAAACCUUUUUCCCUAUUUUGUGCAGUGUGGCUAAGACGCUUGAAGCACUCAAAUGCUGUUUCCUUUGGUGUGCUUUCUUUUGUGAACCAGCAGAGAAAAAUCAGAUCCAUUUAGCAGCAAGAUUUAUCAACAUUUAACUCAUGGGAGGAAUAAGAAGAAUUAUUUAAUACUAAGUCAUUUGUCCUAAUUAUGAUAUUACAUUGUUUAAUUUUUAUUUUAGUUGACUAGAUGCAUUUAGUCAAUGAAGCAUUUAACUAGGAGUAAGUAGUUUGAAUUUGGUUUAGAAAGUUAAGCAUUUGAAUUGUUCUCAUCUUUUAAUAAUUGCUUAUGUAGAAAAUCAGUAGGAUGACUUACCAAUUGACUUUCCUUUCUACUUCCUAUAUAAGGCUAUCUUGAAGGAAAUAAAUAGUAUGGAUGAAUUUUUGGAUUAAGUUUGAGUGCUUUCUUGCUCAAGAAAUUGUUAAGUUCUCUCUCAACAAACCUAAAACUUAAAUUCACAAAUAGGGUAUAAUGGAAGAAAUUCACAGAAGAAAUCUGCAACUUUAUGGUUAGGUUUCCCAGUUUCUAGGCAUGUAACUAGAUCCUUAACAAGGGAAGAUACCAGAUUUUGGGGGACCAGAGGAGGUUCCGUCAAGUGUCUUGAGUGGCAGGCAAAACAACUCUUUCCCUAGGGAGCUGUGGGAUUAGGUCGUCGGUCUCUUUCAACAAGGCACUCCUAAGUGGUUGUGGAGAUUCACGAUGAGGAAGAUAGGUUUUGGUGGAGGGUGAUUUGGCCAAAUUUGGUUGGAUGAUAGGUGUUGGAAAACCAAGCUUUCUGGAGAACCAUAUGGGGACUCUAGAAGAGUGUCAUUGCUGUCAGGGAUGGGUUCUUCAACUUUAUACAGAUAGAUCAUGUAUGAGACGGAAGUUAAGUUUUGGAAAGAUGAAUGCCAUGGUGAAGGGACCUUAGACCAUCUUUUUCCACUGAUGUUCUUGAUGUGCAAGAGGAAGGAGUUGGUGGACUUUUAUCUGGUCUUGAAGGUAAGUGGUGUGGGAGGUGGACCACUUAGAUGUUUGAAAGGUAUGUGAAUAUGUCCAUCUGCUUAAUCUCUUGUCUCUCUCCAGUAUAGCACUUGUUCCAUCCCUUGGUGUAGAGUGCAUUUCUCUUGGAAUCCUAUUUGGAAGUCAAAUACGACCCCAAGAAUAACGUCUCUUUGCCUUGGAGACUAUAAGGAAAAGAAUCUUCUUUGGUGAUAAUUUAAAGAGGAAAAGCAAGAUUUGGGUUAAUCGGUGCUCUCUUUGUACAAGGGUAGCCAACACCUCAAAUGAUCUCUUCUUGUGGUACCCUUUCACUUUCAUCUUUGGUGUGCUAUCCUCGAGUUCCUUGGCUUGAGCUGGAUGAUACCUGAUUCAUUGGCUGAUGAAAUUUGGACUCGGCAGGGUAUUCGGGAUGAAAAUACUUUUAUCCUGUUCCUUUUUCAGUUCGGCUACUUCACGGGUUAUAUGGAAAGAAAGGAACCAUAGAGGUUUUGAGGACAAUAUUUUUCCUUUUGAUAGAGUUAAGGACCUUUUGUCCCAGACCAUUUUCUAUGUAAAGGUUAUCUUCUUCUGAAUGAUGAGAACAUGGGAACUUUAUAACCAUUUUAUUACACUUGUCAAUCCCCUGUUAUAUCCAGAUCCUUGGUGCCUUGUUAAUAAUGUUCUUGAUUUUUCCUCUGUAAAAAAAUUUUAAACAUUUGUUUUUAACAAAUGAUAAAACAAAUAAACUUUUCAUUAACUGAAUUAGUGUUACAUUUACAAUUAAAAUCUUCGAAAUAAAUAAAAAUAAUAGUUCCCAUCAAAUCAUAUGUGAUUGACCUGUAGUCAUACUAUUGACAUUUUUUGGGUACCAGACUCCCCUUUAUACACUGUUCUAGCAAUAAGCUCUGUUAUCCUUAUAGCAUGCAUACACACACUUGAAUAAGCAGAUACACUGCCUAUUUGCCGAGAAGCUCAAUGCCAAUUGACUUUAUUCUAAACUAUCUGAAACUAAUAGCCAAACUUCUGCUCUUAAGAUUUUCAAAAGUUUAAAAUAAGUGCAGGAUGGUGUCGGGUGGUCAUAAAUAUAUCUUUUGGUGCUUUGAUGUGUUCUAGUGAGUCUCAUUGCAUAAUGGUUUUCUACAUCUGAUUAGCUUUCAUCUUUGACAGGAAAUUAUCUAUGUUCCCUUAUUUUCUCAGUAACAUCACUAUCCACACUUCAAAUAGCUAAAAGAGAAAAUAUGUGCAAUUCUUUCAACCUAUUAAUGCAAUUUAAAAGGACAAAAAAAUCUCAGUGUAUGUCAUGUGUCAUUGUAUGGUAUUUGAAUAUUAUAUUACUGGCCAGAGCUUUUAAUUUGUUUGCUUUUUGGACUUCCAGUUGGAUCUGAGGUAGCAAUAUGUUUUAUUUUUGGCUACACUAUUUGUUGAGAAUUGUAAAUUUUCUGCAGGGAGAUUUGUCCCUGGUUGUUAUACUCUUGCUGUGUCGGAGGCUCUCUCAGAGGACUUGCAGAAUUUAUGUGAAGAUGAGCGAGUGCAGUAUGUGCCACCGAAGCGUGUGUGACUGACAAUCGCAUAGUGUAGUGCCUGUAAUAUUCUAAUCGUAAUAGUGAAUGUCAGUGGCAAAAGUGUUGGUACAGUUUGCAGAAGUGUUGACCCUGCUUAAGGGAGCAGUUUCUCCUUUUGCUUGUUUGAUAGCUUUAUGACAAUCCUAAAAUAGAUGUGAAUUAGGAUUUUUGACUUGAGCAUGAUGCUUUUGGAACGAAAUCAAGAAAAAAAAAAAGAAGCAGAGAUGGUUACGGUUAAAUUUCC